rnacentral:rRNA from 1 species
GACGUAGGGGGCCAGCGUUGUUCGGAAUUACUGGGUGUAAAGGGUUCGUAGGCGGUGUGGCAAGACAGAUGUGAAAUCCCCGGGCUCAACCUGGGAACUGCAUUUGUGACUGCAUGGCUGGAGUGCGGCAGAGGGGGAUGGAAUUCCGCGUGUAGCAGUGAAAUGCGUAGAUAUGCGGAGGAACACCGAUGGCGAAGGCAAUCCCCUGGGCCUGCACUGACGCUCAUGCACGAAAGCGUGGGGAGCAAACAGG